UCUUCGGAGAGCCUGCACAGGUGCUGCAUGGCUGUCGUCAGCUCGUGCCGUGAGGUGUCCGGUUAAGUCCGGUAACGAGCGCAACCCUCGCCAUAUGUUACAAGUGUCAUAUGGGACUGCCGAUAUAAAGUCGGAGGAAGGUGGGGAUGACGUCAAGUCAGCAUGGCCUUUAUAUCCAGGGCUACACACACGCUACAAUGGUCAGUACAAUGGGUUGCCAAGCCGCGAGGCGGAGCCAAUCCUAAAAAGCUGGCCUCAGUUCAGAUUGCAGUCCGAAACUCGACUGCAUGAAGUCGGAGUUGCUAGUAAACGCAGGUCAGCUAUACUGCGUUGAAUACGUUCCCGGGGCUU
rnacentral:rRNA from 1 species